GUAUUUGUGACGUCACGACUGGGGGAAGCGAGGACUCUACUCACCUAUGCCGCUCCAGACCUUGAAGUGGAAGAGGGAGGGCAGCUAGGCUAGCAAUUCAGCCUGGUGCAAGAGACCACUUUCGCGAGCGAACGCUUUCUAAGCGUGCUUUAAGGUUUCCUAUACAAAGGCCCCAAUGCUGCGGGUGCUACAAUAAGCAAGAAAAGAACUCCAAGCAGGAGCUGCGCUCUAGAAUAUAGCUCUAGUGCUGGGAUGAGAAGAGACGGACCUAAGAGUUAGCAAACCGCAAGACUCUCCCUUCCUGCCUUGUCUCACACUGUCCAGACUCUAGACGAGGUGGAAAGCGAUCGGUUAUCCCUAUUCCUUCUAAGACGGACGCGAAUAAUUCUACACCACUGCUUUCCUUAUUCUUGAAGGCUUUCAAACCAAGGAGUCACUUGCUCCUUCAAUCCCCUAUCCGGGUUAACAUCUGUGCCCUUGAAGAUAGAUGGCUGAAGCAAAAAUGCUCAUACCAGAUGGUCCAGGAGAAAUCAUUUCCUCGAGAAAAGGGAAAAGGCUUCAAAAGGCUAUAAUUUAUAAUUUUUUAAAAAAAUGGCAAAGAAGAAAUGUUCUAAAAUAAUGAAACAAAUGAAUCAAAAUGAAAUGUACAACCUAAAAAUGUAAUCUGGAUUAUGCAUAAAAAAGUUGCUAUGCUUAAAGAUCAAAGAAUACCUAACUUUUAUUAAAAUUCCCAGUAUUUUCUUAAGGACUUAGAACAAAUCCUUACAGAUUAAGAACAGGUAAGAAUCUUUCCCCCCCCCCCCCGCCCAAAAUUCUGACAAUGCAGAAACAAAUAUGAAUUUCAAAAAGUACAUUAAAAAAUCGCUUAUCACAAUUUCAAAAAUAUAAGCAAUCAAGCUAAUAUUGCUGACAUGUUAAUGCACUGUGGAAUAUGUACUUUUAAAAACCAUUUCUUGGGCUGAUCCAAAUUCAAAAGAAUUAUAAAGUGCCAACUAUACUAGUCUGCACCUUUAAAAAUGAGUCUUUUUUAUCUAAUGAUAGAAUUGAAUUAAUCUCUGCAAGAGCUUCCUAAAAAGAAACAAACAUAUUGGCUUUGACUUUGCUAUACACUUAAAAAGUGAAGUGUUGAAAUGUUGAGGAAAAAUAGAAAAGAACACAAGAGACCAGAGUUUUAAAAGUUAAUUUUUUUUUUUUACUAAAGUGGUCCAGAAAUUCUCAGACAGAUACAAUAAUGAAGUGUUUUCAAAGGAAUAUUGAACAGUAGCUUGUCUUAAACAUGUGUUUUCUAGCUGGUUGAAGAUUCUACCUGAAGUGUUCAGACCUAAUUUUUGUGCAUUAAUUAAAAAUCAGUAUGUAUUUUGGAUGAGCUAGUGUACACUGUUUUGAAAUUCACAGUAAUACAGUUUGAUUCUUAACUACGAUUAAAAAAACCAAUACUUUUCUAUUCAUCAAAUGUCUCUCACAAGUAAAGUAGUAAAUUCAAUUCCACUGUAUUAUGCGUUACACAAUUGGAAAGCAACAUAAAACACUGAAAAUCAGAUCUGUA